AAGGAAAACAAAACCCCCAAGAUUCCAAAAAUUUAAGCCGUACGAGACUUUUGAUAUUUGAUGGCCUCCUUGAUAUAGUUGUCAAAAAGAUAGAAGGUAUCCAUAGGGCCACCACGAGCUUCAGGGUGGAAUUGGACAGAAGAAAUAGGACGAGAAACAUGGGCAAUACCUUCGUUAGAUUGAUCAUUCAAAUUAGUCCAAGUAGCCUUCCACUCAGCUGGGAGAGUAGAUGCAUCCACAGCGUAACCGUGGUUUUGAGAAGUAAUAUGGCAGUUACCAGAAGCAAUGUCUAAUGCGGGAAUAUUAUGGCCACGGUUACCAUAUUUAAGUUUAAUAGUCUUAGCACCUGUGGAAAGAGCGAGAAGCUGAUGACCCAUACAAAUGCCCAUAAUUGGACCAUUGUAAGUAUUCAUCAACUCACGAAGAUUGUUAACGGUUUUGGUAAGAUGGGUUGGAUCACCUGGGCCGUUAGUCAAAAAUAUGCCAUCGUAAUUGCUAGCAACAUUUUGAAUAGGAUAAUCAAAGGGGAAAACGGUAACACUAGCACCACGAGAAACCAAAGAACGAAGAAUGUUUUCCUUGACACCACAGUCAAUAACGGCAAUGUUCAACAUGCCAUCUCCGCCACUGACGAAGAAAGGCUCACGGGUGGAAACCUGGCUAACUAAAUUCACUUCUUCAGGAUUGAUAAACGCUUCGUCGUCGUUGGCGUCGUACUCUUCACCAAUACUGAUCUUUGCCAAACUACUUCCUUGUUCACGCAAGAAAGUAACGAUGGCACGAGUGUCGACACCGGUGAUUGCAGCAACUCCUUCACGAGCACACCAUUCACCGAGCGACUCAACUGCAGUCCAGUGGGAGUAUUUGGUGGCAUAAUCGUUGACAACGACACCAGCACACUGGAUAUGAGGUGAUUCAAAGUGUCGCAAAAGACCAUUUUCAUCGCGCUUUUUACAAUCGGGGACACCAUAAUUUCCGAUCAAUGGUUGAGUGAAAAUUAGAAUUUGCUGCUUGUAAGAAGGGUCAGUCAAUGACUCAACGUAGCCGACAGGAGAAGUGGUGAAAACAGCUUCACCAGAUACAUUUCUGUUGGCACCAAAGGAAGUGCCGUGAAAGAUAGGACCAUUGCGAAUCGUGAGGGUGGCAAUCUCGUUUUGCGCAGGAGCUGUAGGAAAAGAAGGUUGCUUUGGUAAAAUACGCUCGUGAUUGGUGACAGGAGGAACCUUAGAAUAAAAUCUUUUACCAAAUCUCAAAGGGAAUGGUUUCAAAAAUCGCAACAUUUUUGAAAAAAAAGAAAACGAUUCAAGCGUAGACUUAGGAGGGAAUGGAAAUAUAUAAAACCGAACAAAAUAUAAGUCUAAAGGAAACCGAACGAUUCAGAAAAUACGAAAAAAUUCUAUAAUAAAUUCGGUUUUCAAAUUCAGAAGUUUAUUAAACCAAAACAAAUGAAAUUUUUACAAUUGAACGAAUCUAUAAAAAUUUGCGAAUGUUAGCUCAAGGGAGUUGCAAAUAAUUGAAAAGGAAAGGAAUAAUAGUUAAAGGAGUAUUUAAUAACUAUUUUUGAACCAGUCUUUUUCCAAAUAUUUUUUUAAUAGUUGGUAAAUGAGCUGACACUUGAAGGAGCGUUAAUUUCUUCCUCCCGUGUGGAAUAUGUAGUUGAAAAAAGAAAAUUGUAAUCGCUCUGAUU
rnacentral:lncRNA from 1 species